rfam:Vibrio aerogenes CECT 7868 genome assembly, contig: 0039
AAUGAUGGUGGGCUGGAUGAGGCUGACUUCGGUCAGGCCGUUCCCUUUGUGGCGGUGUACCAACCUUGUCCAGUUCACCACCCAU